CACAACAUGUAGAGUUGUUUGUGACUUUGUUUUUUUUAAUUUUUAAAUUGUUACAUAUUAUUAUAGUAGAGUAAAUUCCGAGUAAAAAUGGUUUUAACAUAGUUGUAGAUGAACGCGGCGAGUGAUUUUUUAACAGGAGUGUGAUGAGCAAAAGCGAACGAUCAAGACGAGAUAAGAGACAAGUCUACAAUUCACGGGUCUUAUAAUGCUGAGGCGGUACAAGUUAGUUCCUGCGCGCCGCCCGCGGUGUGUCUCCCGAGAUGACAUCCUUCGGGAUAUUGCCGGAGAUGAAAUCUCGUCGUAUCAUCAGAACGGGUACCGGCGAAAGCGGACUUUCGGCGCGCACUGCGGUACCGUAGGUUUGGCGUAGCUGGUGUGGUGGAGUUCGAUGGGGUUUAGUCGGUAGUUGGUUUAGCUUGGCGAGCGCCUCGCGCGCCCUUUUCAAGGCGUAGUCUCCUGCGAGGAAUUGGGGGAGGUGGAGGACCUUGGCCCUCUUCGUCUCCCUCUUCCUCUCUGGAAGCGCCGGAGUCCGACAUAACCCGGUCCAACCCUCGCCCAGGUAUUCGUGAAUGGAUUACCAAGCGUUAAAAUAAAACAAUUUGUUCUCAUAAUUCAAUACAGAUUUUACUUCGGCUAGCUUAAUGACAAUAUAAAUGAGCACCAUUUUAACUGUUGCUUCUUUUGGGGGUGACAAGUUGCGAACUCUGUUCCUACGGCCCGUACCCUCUUCUGAUUAAGUUAGCUAUGGGUUCUAAGCUGUUUGUUGUUUGUAAAGUGGGUUUGUAA